CUACGGGUUGCAGCAGUGAGGAAUUUUGCGCAAUGGGGGGAACCCUGACGCAGCAACGCCGCGUGAGUGAUGAAGGCUUUCGGGUCGUAAAGCUCUGUCAAGUGGGAAGAACCUAUGCAGUGUUAAUAUCACUGUAUACUGACGGUACCACUGAAGGAAGCACCGGCUAACUCCGUGCCAGCAGCCGCGGUAAUACGGGGGGUGCAAGCGUUAUUCGGAAUCAUUGGGCGUAAAGGGCACGUAGGCGGCUUGGUAAGUCAGAUGUGAAAGCCCGGGGCUUAACCCCGGAAGUGCAUUUGAUACUGUCAGGCUUGAGUAUCGGAGAGGGAAGUGGAAUUCCUGGUGUAGAGGUGAAAUUCGUAGAUAUCAGGAGGAACACCGGUGGCGAAGGCGACUUCCUGGACCAAUACUGACGCUGAGGUGCGAAGGCGUGGGUAGCAAACAGGAUUAGAUACCCUGGUAGUC
rnacentral:rRNA from 1 species